AUGCAAUUCCAUGGUUCCUACUCUCGCUUCGCUCCGGAGACGAUUUGGUCUGCGCACGCGGAACCCAAGUGCAAGUUCUUUGCGUGGUUAGUUCUCCACCAAAGGAUCCUCACGACGGACAGGCUUGCAGUUCGUGGUUGGCCUCAUGAUCCGAUUUGCCACGCUUGUCGUCAAGAGCCCGAAACUGUGAGGCACCUCUGCAAGGAGUGCCCGUUCUCGAAGGCAGUGUGGGGUCAUGUCAUGGCUUGGUCGGGGGAUAAUGUCGCCGCUCUCGCGAUGGCGGCCGACUUGGGGGGAAUCUCCAACUGGUGGGAUUCCAUGGUUUCCUCCGAGUCAAAAAGACAAGAGGAGUUAGCAGAACGAGGUACCCGUAUGAUUCAUUUCGAGGUGGCAGCCUUAGCGUUCGAGGACAUCUCUCACCGCCAGAUGGCCUUUGGUCGACCACGUGUCAGAGAGGGUAGUGCUACUGGUUUCUCAAAAUACCCGGAAGGGAGAAUCGAGCUGGUGUUGCUCUACCCAAAGUGA
rnacentral:rRNA from 1 species